rnacentral:rRNA from 1 species
UACGUAGGGCGCAAGCGUUGUCCGGAUUCAUUGGGCGUAAAGAGCGUGUAGGCGGCCAGGUAAGUCUGCUGUGAAAGUCCAGGGCUCAACCCUGGAAGGCCGGUGGAAACUGUCGGGCUAGAGUCCGGAAGAGGCGAGUGGAAUUCCCGGUGUAGCGGUGAAAUGCGCAGAUAUCGGGAGGAACACCAAUGGCGAAGGCAGCUCGCUGGGACGGUACUGACGCUGAGACGCGAAAGCGUGGGGAGCGAACAGG